GAAAAGAGCUGAAGUAAUGCCUAUGGCUUCACUGAUGAAGACCACACUCCCCAGCCUCCUUAUAACCAACCUGUCUGUUCAAAUCCAUUCUCUUCAAGAAAAUGAGAACAAUAUUUAUGUGUGCAGCUUCCAGCCCAUCAUCCAGUUCCCUGUCUUCUGAAAGGUGUACCCUGAUUUUGCUCUGUGGAAUCAUCCUUGUCCUGUCUUUCAGCCCAUGUCCUUCUGCUCUUUCUCUUCAAACUUCCUUAACAUACCUUGGCUUAGUUGUUCUGCUGAUUUUCUAAAAGAAGAAGCUCCUUUGAAUAACAUGGAGGAGAGUUAAGGUAGGUUUUAAUAAGUGCUGCUUUUAUGAGUCUUUGCACUAGCUGACGGAUGCAUGGUAUGACACAACACCUGACAAGAAUGAGUACACCCGCUACUCCUACGAUAGAGGUAAGAAUUGAGGCUAUGAUUUCUUUUUGUUUAUGGAACCAUUUUGUUGGACUCCAAUUUCAUCUAAAUAGAUGUGAGAGCUGGAAGACCCAUGAGGGACUUCUCUUGCCUUACAGUGUUGUAUAUUUUCUUCUUCUGGUGAAUGAAAUGCCAGGAUGAAAGGCAUAGCCAACUGGACUAGAGCACAAAUGCCACUCUGGUUCCUUGGCAGACUGUUCAAUAAAGGUCCACCAUAAUACCACCAUAUGUCUUCUUGGGGAUGAACAAAGGCUGAGUGACUGGUUAGUUCUAGAAAAGUCUUAAGCUCACUGCAUCUCUUUAGGUUUCCAAGGAACACGGUUUCCUCCUCGUCAUGAGAGACAUGAAGUGAACUUAGUGUCGGGAGACAGAAGCUGGAUGGCCCUGGGGGCUGACCCGCAGGGUGUUAAACUUCAGGAUAUAGCAGAGAGAGAGCUUGGCAUGACUUUGUUCCCCAGGCUGUAGGAUCCUGUAAAAGAGCUACUAUAUAUCCCAUGCAUCCACUAGGACCAUCCUAGUGGAAAGGGGAUAAUCUGGGCCUCUGGUCUGCCAUGCACACAAGCGUAACAGUUGUUUUUGUUUAAUGUAUGGACAGAAUAUUGGAUUUAUUCCAACCAGGCAUUUGUAUCUUUAUAUCCUGUCUCUAUUGCUAAAGUUUGUUUUAAAUCAUUUACUUCUACAAUGUCUACAUCCUGUCAUUGCAUAUAGAAUGAGUGACAGUUUGAUCAGAAGAAAGUCAAAAAGGAGAAUAAGAGGAAGGGAGUGAAGAGGAUAUUUCAAAAGACCCUAUGAGGCCUGUGUUGGCCAAAUUGGCUUCUGUGCCGUAGAAACGAUCUAAAGUGGGGUCGGGAUCAGUAGACGUAGAGGUAAGAACAGAGAGCUUUACUGGAUUGCAUUGGUACUGUUCACAAGUAGAGAGAAUGCUUUCUUUGAUGAAAUGGAGGUGUGGUUUUAAAGAGGUGCAGUCCUUUGAGGAAGUCCAUCCUUGUUCCUCAGUAGUCCAUAGGACAUCAUCCCAGGAGGGACAGUACCAUCCUGGAAACUUGUCCUUGUUUAGUUCCCAAAAUUUGAGAAAUGUCGGGGACUUGGUUUCUAUGAAGCAAGGGUUGCAGAGGUUGGAAGUUACUUCAGAAGGACAGAGAUAUUUUUCAAAGAAGGCCUCUUGUCUUUGGUUUUGGAGAUCCCCACAGGUAUGGCCAGACAGGCAUCAAAUGUGAUUGUCUGAGGAAAAGGUGACCUGGUUACAUUAAUAACAAGGUGGUCAGCGGUAGAACAAGGAAAGAAGAAGGAGUAAUAAAUAAAAGAGGGUUAAACUUUACUUAGCUUUAGUUUGGUAGAGUUUCCCCCUGGUACUAUGGCCCAUGACUCCAAAGGAGGUGGUGCUUUCUUGACUCCACUUUGAUAGGUCCAUCUUCUUUCUGCUGUCUGGGUUGCAGUUUUUGUGGUUAGGAGCUCUAGAUAACAUUCUUCCCAGACGGGUUAGAGCUUUUCCUGCUCUCCAGCUUUUGACAAGGAUGUGGUCCCCAGGCUGAUGUUGGUGUACUGGAAACUGUAGGGGUGGCACCUGUGCCAAAAGACUUUUAGUUCUGAGGCAAAAGAAAGUGGAAGAUAAACCAAGUAUAGAAUUUCUCAGAAACUGAUCUUUUGUUUCAAAUGUAGGAAGAUCAGUAGUAGAACGUAGAUAAGACAAUGCAUAAGGCAUCUUAUAAGGGGAUAGGUCUAUGUCUUUUGAGGGGGCAGUUCAGAUUCUCAAUAGGGUGAUAGACCUUUCUACUUACUCCGAUGAAGAUGAGUGCCAGGGAGCAUAGUAUUCCCAUGCUAUAUCUAGUACCUGGACUAAUUUCUUAAUGACAUGUGCAGUGAAAUUAGUCCUAUUAUCUGAAUCAAUGUUUUUUUUCAUUAAUCUAAACCUGGGUAUAAUAUUUUCAACUAAUGCCUGACUACAUUAUUAGCAGUUGUACUUGAAAAGAGAAUAGCUUCUACCUAAUGAGUAAGGUGAUGUACUUUUAAUAGUAGAUAAUUUAGAUGACUAAUUCAUGGCAUUUCUGUGUAAUCAAUUUUGGAAUGGUCUUAAGCCUGGACUCCUUCUCCCAAGAGGUAUCUUUUUAUAGCUUGUUUUUUAGUUUUCUUAUAUAGUAAGCAACUAUCUGUAAAUUGUGUGGCCAGGGUAUAAAUUCCUAUACACCCAUAAACUCUGAAACUGCAUCACGCAUAGCCUGUGUCCCCCAAUGGGUCCCUUGAUGCAGUUGGAACAAAAUUUCCCUCAUAAGAGGUUUGGAUAAUACUUUUUUUCUGGUCUGGCAAUAUCCAUUUUACUUCUGAAUUCUCUUUAGUACCUAUUUUUAUUAGUUUUUAGACCAAAGAAUGCCAAACACCAUUUUAUAUUUGACAGUGCUUUCUAUAUGAUUUUAUACUAGAUAAGCUAAAUUUCACCUUUAUAUUAGUGUGCUGUUAAUGUUAAACUCAAUUUUAAUAAAACCGUGUAGACAUAUUAUCCAAUUUUAUUGUCUGACCAGAAGGUAAGAUUUUUAUAGAUUCUUUUUAACCCUUAAUUUUUUUAAAAAAAGAACAGCUUAGUGCUUUAAGAAAAACUUUUUGUGCUUUUAUUUUAAUUUCCAGUUUACAGCAAAACUGGAUGAUACCCCUUUAACUUUGGCCAUUAUGUUUACACACAUAAUUUACUUUACAAUUAACAUUUCAAAACUUGCUUAAA